rnacentral:rRNA from 1 species
CACGUAGGGGGCAAGCGUUGUCCGGAUUCAUUGGGCGUAAAGAGCUCGUAGGCGGUUCGAUAAGUCGGGUGUGAAACCUCCAGGCUCAACCUGGAGACGCCACCCGAUACUGUCGUGACUAGAGUGCGGUAGGGGAGACUGGAAUUCCUGGUGUAGCGGUGAAAUGCGCAGAUAUCAGGAGGAACACCGGUGGCGAAGGCGGGUCUCUGGGCCGUAACUGACGCUGGAGGAGCGAAAGCGUGGGGAGCGAACAGG